GCAGAGUAGGCUUAUGCGCGUUAAGUGCCGGCUGGACAGGGAGUUGCCAGCCAGACGAAAGUAAGGAGCGGCUUUGUGCCGAUCCUUCUGCGGUGCAUGGGCCGCAUCCCGCUGC
rnacentral:ncRNA from 1 species